rnacentral:rRNA from 1 species
CCCUUAGAUGUUCUGGGCAGCACGCGCGCUACAAUGGUCUUCGCAAACGGAUGCAUUCUCGAAGGAGAAUGCCAAUCUUGGAAUCUAUUCCUUGGUCGGGACAGUUGCUUGCAAUUUUUCGACUCGAACCAGGAAUUCCUUGUAAUCGUGAUUCAUCACAUCACGAUGAAUACGUCCCUGCCCUUUGUACACACCGCCCGUCGCUCCUACCGAUCGAAGAGUUAGGUGAAUUGUUUUGAUCGAUAAGAUUUGACUAUGGUCAACUCUCGUUGUGAAAUUCUGUGAAUCCGACUGUUUAGAGGAAGGAAACGUCGUAACA